rnacentral:rRNA from 1 species
UACGUAGGGCGCAAGCGUUAUCCGGAAUUAUUGGGCGUAAAGAGCUCGUAGGCGGUUUGUCGCGUCUGCCGUGAAAAGUCCGGGGGCUCAACUCCGGAUCUGCGGUGGGGUACGGGCAGACUAGAGUGAUGUAGGGGAGACUGGAAUUCCUGGUGUAGCGGUGAAAUGCGCAGAUAUCAGGAGGAACACCGAUGGCGAAGGCAGGUCUCUGGGCAUUAACUGACGCUGAGGAGCGAAAGCAUGGGGAGCGAACAGG